UGAACCUAAUAUUUAAACUUGUUAACUAACCAGCCGUCUCCAUAUCUCAUCUGGUAUGAGCGCCAAAAAUACCAUCCCUCAAUACCCCGUCCGGUAUGAAGGUGAAUCAGGCUGUCACCAUACUCCGUCUGGCAUGAAUGCCAAAAAUACUAUCUCUCGGUACCCAUUCCAGUAUAAGGUAACGUUCAUGGUAAGGUUCCAUAUGUACCUUAUUCAUCCACAAUUUCUCAAGAUAUUCAAUAAGACAGCCAUAUCCCAAGUUUUCAUGACAUUGAUAAUCGCGGCAAGUUCUAAGUUAUAGAUGUGGUAGUU
rnacentral:lncRNA from 1 species